CUGGCCAUUGGCCUGAACUAUGGCAAGAGUUCCCACUGGGCAACUGCCCCCUGCUCUCAGACUCAAACUGCCACCCAAGAGUGGGCACAAGUCUACAGUGGGCGAUGUCUUGGUAGGGGGCGUUCUGAGUGGGCAAGUGGAGAGCAGCGGGCAGGGGGUGCACAGGACAGAUGGAGCCUGCUGAGUCCCUUUGUAGGACCUCCUUACCUACUCUGGGAUGAGCACAAGAUCAUACCACAUCAAACCCAACUGCUAUGCUAUCGUGGAAGAGACUUAUUGAUUUGUCCAGAGGCUUUGUAUUUAAUGGGGGAAGACUGUGCAAGGGAGAUAAAGGUGAGAAAUUUCUCCUCGUCCAGCAUCCCUGGCUACAGCUGUGGAGCCUCCAUCAUUCCAUCCUCUUUCCAAAUUUUCCAGGUACUAAGGACUGGGUACCUUUGUGUCCCACAACCAGAAACUGGGUCCUGAAGUGGGGAAGAAGUCUGGUUCCAUCCUCAGGGAGCUCCCAGUCUGAUGGGGAUGCUAACAUCUCCUGUCCUCAGGGAGUUCCCAAUCUGGCGGGGACAGACUCAGCCCCUGACCUCAGGGAGCUUCUAGUCUGAUAGGAGAUGCAUGGUCAUUGUCCUCAGGAGCUCCUAGUCUUGAUGGGGGAGAUGCAGCCCGUGCCCUCAGCUCCCAGUCUGAUGGAAGGGGCAAACCCCCUGCUCUUAGGGAGUUCCCUGAUGCCAUCCUGAGAAGGGCUGGCACUGGGUCCCAAGGCAGAAAAGCCCCCAGCUGGCAGUCCCUCUGCAGUAAGUAUCCAGUCUCAGGAAGGCAGUGUAUUCUUGAGGCAGAGAAGGGCCCAGGGGAAUGAGGAAAUUAGAUGCCACAUGCCCUAUGAAGGGAAGGGUGGGGCUGGCCAGCUGGGUGGGAGAAAACAGGGAGCUAGCCCAGGACUCGGGCCUGGUCACCAUCACUUAUGGGCCCUGAUGUCCUCACUCCCUGCUGUGGCAGGAGCGUCAUUCCCAUUUCUCACAGGUGUAAGCCAAGGCCCAGGACAAGGCCCAGACAGACUCAGGCAGAAGGUCCCUGCUGUUCAUUCUGUUCUCCCCCUGGCUCCCCCGGAGCCAUGGAGGGAAACAUGGCUGGGGCCCCAGGCUCAGAGCAGAUAGGCUGGUCCCGAAACAAAGAGACUGGAAGAAAGGGUGGGGAUUAUUGCAUGGUGCUCUAUGUGCCCUUGUACCACAGGCAGUGCCCUGCACCUAGGACAGGCUCACAGGUCUGUGUGGUUUGGGGCUCUGUUCUGCUGCUAGCAACCUGCUCUCAGAGGGAUCAAAUGGUAGACACCUGUGUGCACACCACCCCUCAAUUCCAGCCUGUUCCUUCUGAUGCACUUUGUUAUCAGGAGGUGGGCCUGAGGACUGUUCAUCUCACCAGCACAGCCCAGCAUCGUCCCCACCAGGCCGCGAGCUCUCUGAAGGCAGGUGCCAAGUUUUCCUCCUCUGGAAGUUGGGGGCUUGGUGGAGCUGGACAGAGAAGUCCUAGCAAGGGGGCCUUUAGUCCUCCCAGGCCCCCUGCUUAUCUCUCUGGAAAGAUGGUUCAGGCAAGACCCACAAUCUUCUCCCACAUGAGCCCUUCCUAGGACUGAACACCCCUGAAGGCGAGAGAAUAGGAACAGAGAUGCUUUGGGGGGUGGAAGGCAUUUCUGGGGAAUGAUGAGCUUAGGGAGGCCCCUGCCUCCCAUCAGCCCUUCCUCUACCCCAACCCAGCGACCAUCCUUUUGAUCCUUUCCCCCUUCUGCACACCAUGUUCCACCUGGUGGGUGCAGGUUAGCUUUUCCAGUGGGCUCUGGGUUGGAGGGCAUGUGUACGUGCACGCACAUGCAUGUCUGUGUGUGUGUGCCCAUCUGUCCUGGGGAGCAAUAAUAGUUAAUAAAUAAGUGAAUGGCAAAAAUAGCCUCAAAGGAGCUGACAGGCAGAAGGCCAGAGCAGCCGGGCAUGGGGCCAGCACCCUGAAAUGCCAAAUGUUAAUUUAGCCAAAAAGAAAAAAGGUCCAUUUCAAGACCGCCUCCAUUAGCCAGGGUCAGGGUCUGUUGUGGUUUCUGGUGCUGGCACAGCCCCUCCCCAGGCAUCCUGAGUGCAGCCCAGGCACAGGGGGCCCCUUGCACAGUGUUAGGGUAGCAGGACUGGAGGGAAGGGGCCCAGUCUGGGGCACACGAGUCUAUGAACAGGCAGGAAGCCGGCAGGCCACUUCCCAGCAGUCCUCCAACAGUCCACCCAGCUGGCCAGCCCUGCGUCCCCCCCCCCACCCCCCCUGCAAGGUCUAACCAGCUGGGGGAAUGUUCUGGACUUCAUCACCAAUCUCUUGCCCAGGCAUGGGCCCUACCCCACCUGGACACUCACUUAGGGGCAAGGGAUGUGAUUCAAUGUCCUGGCUGUCACUCGCCCUCAGGCCAGAUCCCUCGAGUGUCUCAUUUGGCUUCUCUCAGGCCUUCUCCCCAACAGUCCUCACCAACCCAGAGCACUCUCCACGCUGAGGCCUCUGCUGGCCUGUGGGCGGUUUUGUUGUCCUUUGCUGCAUGAGUACAUGUCUUAAUGAAGUUACAGAAAGAAGCACAUCUGGGAGAAGCAGAUGUGUGUCCCUCUCUUCCCCAGUGGCUUCUACUCUUUAAAAACCACUCUCAGUUUAUUUACCGGCCUCUCUAGAACAGUCCUCAGAGGGAUGCAAGUCACAGUCCUGACCUCCUUGCAGCCUCCCUCAGCUACAGUCACCUCUGAAUUCAGGGGGACCUGGCUCAGCCCAUGCCCCAGUUCACACUCACCCAGGAAGUCCUGUGCCAGCUCCCAGGCUGGUCCCAGUCAGUUCUGGAGGCUGCCUUGCUCCUAGUGGGUCUGCACUAGGCAUUUGGUGGCCACCAGACAGAAUAAGGAUGGGGCAAGGGUGCGAUAAAAACCAGGACCCAGGGCCUAGCCCUCCCUCCACUUAGCCUUCCUUUUGGAGGUAACGCAAUUUUCUUCUACCCUGUUUACUACCAUCCAAACACACAGGCAUCUGGCAGAAACACUGGGCUCUCCUGUAAUGUGUGGGAAUUUACAAGUGCAAACGAUACGCAGCCAGGACAGACCACAGAUCAUUCGUUCAGGGCAUUUUCCUUGGCAGUCCCUGUGCAAAGUGCUUUGUAUAUAUCAUCACAUACAGUGUUCAACACAACCCUCAGGGGUAACCAUUCUUACUAUAUUCCAUCUUCUGCAAAACAGGCUCAGAAAGAGCGAGAAACCUGCUAAGGAGACACAGCUGGGGCACGGCAGAGUUGGGAUUUGAACAGUGGAGGCAUAGGACACACAGUCGUGAGCAUGACGAGGCCCCGCCUCGGGAAGUGGACACUCUGAGCGGGCGGGGGGAGGCAGGCAAUGAACAAGGAGGUUCACUCUGCACUCUGUCAGGUGGCCUCUGAGAAAGAACAGUAGGUGGAAGGUGGCAUAUAGGGCCUGCGAAGCACCAGGAGCUCUGCUGGGGGUCAGGGUGGCCAGGAUACCGGGCCCCAGAGAAGAGUAAAGUUCUCUGAGGCAUGAGGUCUCUGGGCACCUGACAGGGCUGGCUGGGAGCUUCCAGAGGGAGGAAAGGCUAGGAAGUUGAAUGUUUGGGUACCUAACAUCCGGAUAAAGGCUGAGACCUGGGGAUUUGUAGGGAAGAGACUGACAUGAGAUAUUUAAAGCCCAAGAAAAGGUAAAGAGGAGGGCCCCUGGGAUCCAUCCCAGGUCUCCCCAGGAAGGAGGUGAUAUCUCAUUUCCCAGAGACUAGAGAACUGGUGUCCUGGGUAGAGAGCACGAGGGAACCAGUUUGGCACCACUGGUAACCAAGGCAAGAGGAAACUAAUAGGUAAAUGCCCAGAUGCUCCCUGUGACCCUCCCCAUCUUGUCUGAAGGCCCUGACCCUCAGCUACCCCCUGUCUUCAGUCUCACGGACAGGACAGGACAGCAGGGUCCCCACUCACCUCCCACUCGUCCUCUCCCUGGAGGCGCCUCCCUUCAGCUCCAUACACCAACAUUAACACCACCUUUCUUAACACACACAGGGCCACAUCCACUUCCUCUCCUGCAUGUGAACCUUCCAGGGAUCCCCACUGCCUCAAGAAAAAAAAAAAAAAACUUGGCCCAGAAGUCUAUAUUCUUCCCAACCUAGUCCCACCUAAUAGCCAGCCUCCCCUCUGCUGCAAGCAUUCCCCAUUCCCACCAGGAAGAAGCUGGCAUGCGCCGUCUCUGCUGCUAAAACUGCUGUCGCCCUACUGGGCCCUGGGGGUGUGAGUUCCUGACCGUCUGCCUGGACUUGACAAGAGAAGAUACCAAGCAAAAGUAAUGAAAGAAAAAAAAAAAAGACUGCAGGAGAAUGCAGGCUGGAACCUGUCCUACAGAGGUAGACACAGCCUCACCUGGAUGCCAUUGCUUCUCCCAAGGAGAAGCCAAGAGCAGUCACCCCCAUAAGCUGUCACCAGCCCCCUCCACCCCAGGAUCAAAGCAGAGAAUGACACCACUUCAGACCCAGCAGGAGUUCCCCAUAGAGAACUGUUUGCCAGUGAAAUCUCCCCAGAGGCCUCAGAGGGAGAGGGUUUAAACCCAUCCUGCAGAAGGCAGGUGGGAAAUAGGCAGGGGCAACAGCACCCCACAUGGGGAAGAUCUCAUAUGGUGACUAACUGGCUUUUCUAGGCCAUUGUCACCAAUGCCGGAGAAAUAUUCCACUUUAAAAAUAAAUGUAAAGCAAAAUCCAAAAUUAACUCUCCCCAGAUAACCCCUUUCCAAAAAAGACCACAUCUUAAUCCACAUGUGGCCAUUCGCAUACAGUUUAACCCAAGGACAUCUCUCUGUCCUGGAUUGGGAUACUUCCCAGGCCUCCACCCCACACAUCUGGCACUUUGCAAUCUUCUCAGUCCUCCCAUGGACCCCAAUUUCAUGUCUUUCUCUAGGUGCCCCCAAGGCACGAGGGCUGCCACAGAAUCCUUGUGCUUCUCACCCCAAUCUAAAGGUGCUCGAAAACAAGUAACUUCAAGGUGUCCUUGCCACACAGACUGAUAACAAUAAAUGCAUACAGGGAGUCA